UGAGGAAUAUUGGUCAAUGGGCGAGAGCCUGAACCAGCCAAGUAGCGUGCAGGAUGACGGCCCUAUGGGUUGUAAACUGCUUUUAUGUGGGGAUAAAGUGCGUGACGUGUCAUGCAUUGCAGGUACCACAUGAAUAAGGACCGGCUAAUUCCGUGCCAGCAGCCGCGGUAAUACGGAAGGUCCGGGCGUUAUCCGGAUUUAUUGGGUUUAAAGGGAGCGUAGGCUGUUUGUUAAGCGUGUUGUGAAAUGUAAGAGCUCAACUUUUAGAUUGCAGCGCGAACUGGCAGACUUGAGUGCGCACAACGUAGGCGGAAUUCAUGGUGUAGCGGUGAGAUGCUUAGAUAUCAUGACGAACUCCGAUUGCGAAGGCAGCUUACGGGAGCGCAACUGACGCUAAAGCUCGAAGGUGCGGGUAUCGAACAGG
rnacentral:rRNA from 1 species